rnacentral:misc_RNA from 1 species
UCGCGGCUUAUCACCGGCAGUCCCCUUAGAGUGCCCAACUGAAUGAUGGCAACUAAGGGCGAGGGUUGCGCUCGUUGCGGGAUUUAACCCAACAUCUCACGACACGAGCUGACGACAGCCAUGCAGCACCUGUGUACGACCCCGAAGGACACCGUAUCUCUACGGCUUUUCCGUACAUGUCAAGCCCAGGUAAGGUUCUUCGCGUUGCAUCGAAUUAAGCAACACGCUCCGCCGCUUGUGCAGGCCCCCGUCAAUUUCUUUGAGUUUUAGCCUUGCGGCCGUACUUCCCAGGCGGGGUGCUUAAGGCGUUAGCUACGGCACGGAGGGGGUCGAUACCCCCCACACCAAGCACCCACCGUUUAGGGCGUGGACUAC